AUUGAACGCUGGCGGCAGGCCUAACACAUGCAAGUCGAACGAGUGGCGGACGGGUGAGUAAUGUCUGGGAAACUGCCUGAGGGAGGGGGAUAACUACUGGAAAAGGUAGCUAAUACCGCAUACCAGCGGAUGUGCCCAGCUGGGAUUCGAUAGUAGGUGGGGUAACGGCUCACCUAGGCGACGAUCCCUAGCUGGUCUGAGCGGAUGACCAGCCACAGUGGAACUGAGACACGGUCCAGACUCCUACGGGAGGCAUCAGUGGGGAAUAUUGCACAAUGGGCGCAAGCCUGAUGCAGCCACGCCGCGUGUAUGAGGAAGGCCAUCGGGUUGUAAAGUACUUUCAGCGGGGAGGCGUUACCCGCAGAAGAAGCACCGGCUAACUCCGUGCCAGCAGCCGCGGUAAUAC
rnacentral:rRNA from 1 species